AGUAAAGUCAGCUAAAUUAAGCUAUCGGGCCCAUACCCCGAAAACGCCCACAGGCCUUUACUA
rnacentral:tRNA from 2 species